CACAGCCGCACAGCCGGUUUGGUGGUUGGAUGACGGUGGCAGUGCCGGGCCAGUUCCUGAUACCUUCCGUACUCGUGAUGAGCCGUGUGUGACAUCCGUACUCGUGAUGUUCGGUGUUUGUGUCAUAGCCUUGGGCAAACCUAACUGAGCAUUUACGUGGUUUCGAGUCCAACUCGGACACCUGCAAUUCAUCUGUGAUCUGUCAGCUGAGAGCACGCACAUGACGGACGCGGGUCUGCUGCACGUGGCGUACGGCUGCCCCGCCCUGCACAGCCUGCACUUCAGCGCCACGGGCAUCGCCGAUUGGGGCGUGCGCCGACCGGUGGUGCUGGCAGGGCCUCUGCCCGGUGUUCGCGUCGUGGUCGCAGCAGCAGGGGCAGAAGGCUGGAGGGGCGGCGUUAAGGCGGCAGGCGCUGUGGGUGCCGAGGCACGGGCGGCUUGCAACCAGAUGGCAGCGCGCUGUUGGUUGGGACGUUGGGUUGCACUUGGGGGUGCGCUGGGUGAUAACUUUGUUGCAGGAACGGUGGUAGGCGCCUGGCGUGCGGUAUCCCGCGAGCAGCGGGUGCGCCGCGACGCGUUGACCACUCAAAAACGAAGUGCUUGCGAGUGAAUGCGAAUGCAAGAGCCUGGCUGCGCACGCUAUGGUCAACUCGGCAUGGGGCCGUUCGACAGAGGCCAGCACACAUGCCGACGUGUAGCAGUUUGGACUUUAUUAUGGCUGUUUUCAGAACAAACUUCCUCCUCGGUAUUGAAGUCGCCGGGGCUUACUCGAUCUUACUUCUCUUACUUAGCUUACUUGGCUUACUUGGCGCGAUUGUCUAUACCGCCCUAUAGUCCGUGCAGUGGCGCAAUAAACUCCUAAUUUGCAAGAUGAAAACGAUUGCAACUUUGGGAGCCGGGAAAUCCAGUGGCAUUCAUCAGAACCAGCGACUGCGCCAUCGCGACUUGCGCAUGCGCGCGCCCCCGGCCCCCCAAAAUAAGCUGGGUGUUAUUAGUUUGAUAACAAUAUAGUUGUAGGCUUGACAGACGUGAGAAGGGAGCAUUCUAGGCCCCCGACACGAGUAAGCCGAGUAAGCCAAGUAGGAUCGAGUAAGCCCCGGCGACUCCGAUUGCCAUCGGAAGUUUGUUCUGAAAACCGCUAUAAUAGGUUGCACUGUUGACGUGAGCUCAAGCUUUCCGCUUAGAAGAGUAGUUGCUAGCAGUGCUAGUGAAGCUGCGUAUACUGUAACUUUCCUGAAGUCGUCAAUUUUUUCUACGCUGCAUACGCACCCUCAUGAUAAUCCUGGUUGUCAUAGAACAUGCCACCUAGACGGGCUCGAGUCCCUGCAACUCUCGAGAGCCGCAUCAAGCAAGGUCUGCAAUACUUUGCUGGCCUGCGCGAGGACGAGGCAGCAGAUGUUGCCCGUGCAAAGGACCUGGGCGAUGCACUCCUUGAAGCUGACAUGAACAUUAUCAGCAAUACCGGGAUUUUGAGCGGCAUCGUGGCUGCGCAUGCCUGGGCCGCGCGUGCGCUUGCCGUUGACGUUCUGAACGACUCGGCUUACGUCGCUUUUGUAGCGACCGCAACUAAUCUAGGAGAACUGCUCAGCAGCCAGCCGGGCGACCAAGCUUACGGCAGGCAGGACCGGUUGGUCCGAGCCCUGCUGAGGGCGGACACGCUCGCCGUGCACGCGAGGCUGUGUACGGACGCUCGCGCCCACCCGCGGGGCCGCCGCCCGCCGCAGCCUCCGGCCACCGGAUGCAAUCAAGCGGGAUCUGGUAUGGCGUGUCCUCCAGAACCUCUCCACGAUUGCCCGAUUUGUGAACAACAGCCGGGAUGCUGGCCUCAAGCACGAGCUGGUGACGGCGCUGGCGCACACGCAGCUGCUCGAGCACGCCGCGCGGGCGCUGCUAAGCGCCGCCCAGGCCAUUCAGCCCGCAUCCAGCGAAGGAACUUCAGGGGCGGCUGCAGCUUCGGGAACGGGGCUUCCACCUGAGAGCUGGAUAACCGUGUCGGGCGUAGCAACCACAUUUGCCCACGCGCUUUCGUGCCUGGUGGGCACAGACCUGCGCACUACCGCGCUGUGCCCACGACCCCGCGAACGGGACGCAUCUGUGGAGGUGUCGCAGAAUUCGAGGCAGCUACAACUGCUGGAGCAGCUGCGGCCGCUGCUGGCCAGCCGCUGCGUGCAGCUCUGCACGGGAUGGGCGGGCCUGUGUGCGGCCAUUACCGUACGGCAGCGGGCAGCGGACGACAGCGCUCAGCAGGGCUUGGUACCAACUGCGUCGCAGCUGUGGCACGGGCUGCCGUCGGAGCUGAUACGGCCGCUGCAGCUGCCGCCGCAGGCCACUGUGUCAAGCCAGGAUAUGGUGCGCACAGCGACCCUGGUACGUAUACGGUACUCGACCGCCGAUGCGCAAGAUGGGCUGCUGCGUUAGUUGACGGGGAGCUUGACGGGGAUAUAAGUGCAUGAACUGCAAUGCUCCCGGCGGGGCUCUCCGGUAUACAAUCUAGUGUUGGCAUUACAGGAACUUAGCGUUGACAUUAGCUCGCCAUUUGCUCGCCGCCUUGCAGGCACUGCCUAUGGUCCUGCAGGUGACGGUCAGCGGCCCCUGCGACCUGGCCAUCGCCCAGCCGCCCGUGGGCUACGACCGCCUGCCGCACAGGCAGCCACAGCCGCAGCGACCAUCGGCGGGGCCAUCAGCAGCGGGGUCAGCAGCAGCGGAGGGGCCGGCUGCAGCACCAGCACCAGCUUCGUACAGCGCCGUAAACGCGUACGGGCUGCUUAAGGCAUUAUGGCACUGCCUGGCCUGUGACCGCGCCACUUACACGUGCAACCUGUGCGCAGUCGCCACGGUAAUGACCCGGCUGCUGACGGAGCUGCGGCCGCGGCAGGCGGCGGUGCUGCUGCCGAGUUGGUGGCAGCUGCUGGCGCAGGAGCCGUCCAUGCUCAUUGAGGGGUACGGGCUUGCGCAGGACGCAGGGGAGCUGCUGCGGCUGCAGUUGAAUGCGCCGCCGCCGGUCGCGUGGGCUGUUGGGGUGACGGAUGCAGCUUCCGUGGCUGCGGCGAGUGUGGACUGGCCGCCGGAAGCGGCGGAGGUGCAGGACGCGGAGGCGGCGACAGCAGCGAAGGCAGCAGCCAGCCUGGCGCGUGAGAGGGACCCCAGCUACAGCCUCCGCUGCGCGCUGGACGCGGGGCUGCUGUCAGUUAUGGAACGGUGCCUUCGCGCGCCACAGGCCUGGCGGCAAUCCAACAGCGUGAGCAAGCUGCUGUACGUCGUAAACUGCGUGCUGCGCUACUCGGGCGUGUGGCCCGCGGUGCUGGCUCGCGGUCCCGUGCAGCAGGCGGUGUCGCUGAUUGCCACGCUGGGCGCAGCAGCUCGGCUGCUGCAGGAGAAGGACACGUCACUGGACGUGAUAAGCCGUGCCUCCCAGCCUGGCAUGCAAACAACGGCAAGGUGCGGCGCCGGCGGCUACCUGUGUGCCUACCUGUCCGCAAUGCUGGAGCAGGUCGUGGACGUGCGGGCGCUGGGCGAGGGCGCACAGCAGCAGCAGCAGCGGGAGGAGCAGCAGGCAGCAGCUAUCGAUGCUACGGCCACAGCCGCAAUUUCCACCCCACUGCACCUCAACUCGGUGCUGGAGCAGGUAGUGGAUUCGAAGGACGGCAGUGUCGAGCCCUCCACGUGCUCCAUCGCCUGGAUGGCGGCGGCGGGCGGCCUGCCAGCUGCCGGCUCCACAGCGUACCGGCAGCAGCAGCUGCUCACGAGCUUCGCGGUGUACCAGUGGCUGCCCAUGCUGGCAAAGGCAACGGAGGAUGCCUUGUGGAGUAGUGAGGCGGGCGCCGAGGGCUGGCUGUCGCAGGCGCUCCUGGUGGGGCACCUGGUGAUGGAUGUGCUCUGGCGCGAGGAGCGCCCGCCAGCUGAAGCCGACGAGGGCGCUGGCUCACGCAACCGACGACAGGACGCGGCGUGGUGGGAGGGCGUGACGCAGACUGGCCAGCUUGCGAAGAGCAUGCACAAUAUUAUGGACGUGCUGGCAACAGACGCCGUAAGGCCGCUGCUGCUUGAGCACUGUGAACAGUGGCAGCAGGCAGCCGUGUUGGACCUGUUGCAAUCCUAUUGGACACGCUUUGCGGGGGCGGCGCGUGUCACGAUACGUGCGUGGGCGAUACGGGCGGCCGAACAACAGCAUCAGCGGACGGAUGGAAAGCAGCAGGCUGGGCAGGCGGCGGAGGGCGGGAAGGGCAGCAGCACGAGCAGCCUUGGCGACAGCACAGCACAGCAGCGGCAGGCGCCACCGCCCGAGCUAGUGCUGCAGUGCUUGACGCCGCUGCCGAUGCAGCAGCUGGCAGCGGUGCACGGGCGGCAGGACAUGGUGGAUUACCUGGACGCAGUAGCUAAGGGUUUGAGAGGGGAAAUGAUGAUUGAGUGCGGCAGUGCCGGCGCCGGCGGAAGCGGCAUGGGGGUGCAAGGGCCUGCCAGCAUGGAGGGCGGCGCGUCGCACGCUAGCGCCACGGCGGAUAGGUUGAGGGCGAAGUGGGUUGGCGCCGUGCGGCCGCGGUACCCGUGGCUGUUGUCUCAAGGCCAGGCACAGGCGGGGCUGCAUGACCUGAUGGUCGCAGAGGCGGCGGCUGCAGCGGCAGCUACUGCUACGGGCGAGCCCUCAGUAGCCUGCGGCGGCGGUGGCAGCAGCGGGAGCAGUAGCAGGAGCAGUAGUGGGCAGGGCAGCAGCAGCGAUGGGCCGGUAUUUGAGCACAAGCUGUGCUACAACCCGCGCUGCUGCUCGCUGGACGGCCCCAGCGCGUUGGUUGCGCCCCGCGGCGGCAAGACGUGUGUGCGGUGCCGUGCUGCCACGUAUUGCUGCGGCGCUUGCCAGCUUGUGGACUGGCGUGAGCGGCACUCUGGCACCUGCAGUGGAGCCGCCGCGGCGGCGGCAGGGUCAGCAGGGACAGCGAAGGCAGCGCUGAAGAAGGCAUGAAUGCUACGGGCGAGCCCUCAGUAGCCUGCGGCGGCGGUGGCAGCAGCGGGAGCAGUAGCAGGAGCAGUAGUGGGCAGGGCAGCAGCAGCGAUGGGCCGGUAUUUGAGCACAAGCUGUGCUACAACCCGCGCUGCUGCUCGCUGGACGGCCCCAGCGCGUUGGUUGCGCCCCGCGGCGGCAAGACGUGUGUGCGGUGCCGUGCUGCCACGUAUUGCUGCGGCGCUUGCCAGCUUGUGGACUGGCGUGAGCGGCACUCUGGCACCUGCAGUGGAGCCGCCGCGGCGGCGGCAGGGUCAGCAGGGACAGCGAAGGCAGCGCUGAAGAAGGCAUGAACUGACGAAGUGCAACAGCAGUAUGGACCCGAAGACUGCGCUUCAAAUGCGGCGUUUUGCGGUUUGUAUGAGAGUGAGAGUGCGAUGCAUGGCGUGGACUCUUGGGUCGUUUGCCACGCCGAGCGUGCAGCAAGAAGCGCUCAAAAAGCCCAAUUGGCUCUGCUUUGCAUUAGCGCAUUACGGUUGAUGACCGCUGACGCGGGUGGUCCGCGCCUUCAUCGGCCGGGAUUACAGAGCGGACUCCACACCGAAUGUAUGAGUGCCAGACCUGCGAUGCUAAUCUUACUUCGCCAAGGCUAGCCUCCUCGCUCCUUUGAGGCUUGAUACCGUAUCAAGGUUUUGGGCAGGAGUAGGGGCAUCAUGAGCGGCGGCGGGGUAACAGGGUGGGGUACAGGCUGCAGUGUUGUUCGGGUUUGGGCGCGUUCUAGGCAUGUGGCACCCGUAUGUGGCAGAGCAAUUUGACUGUCCCCAACAUGUUUAUGUGCCCGCCGAGAAUGCUAAGCUGACGGUCUGAACUUCGCGGUUUUUGUAGUUGCACGACUGUAUGUCAUUAGAGUUUCGGCCAUUGUCGCAGGUGCAGGCGCAGUGCAGUAGAAUGCAGGGGCGUGGGCGAGGAGGAGAGGGCUGACGGACAACUGGAGGCCGUGAUGCGGCGGUAGAUACGGUAGGUACAGGACUGGGAGGCGCACCAAAUGCAUGACUGACUUACCAGUGCACGGCUGAACGCGAUGGCUACAUGUGCGGACUGCGGACGGGCUUGGAACAUCAGCUUAUGAAUGAGGGACGGUGCACUGUUGCCGACGCAUUCGGCCUAUCACGGCAUGCACUCACAUGGCAUCAUCUCGCUCUACACCGCCAGUCUUUGGUGCCACGGCAAGAGGUGGGGCCCCGGUGGAUGGGUGUGCAGGAGGGCGGGGUGGUUUGGCGGUAGGGAUGGGAGUGCGGAAGUGGACGACAAGGUCAAGCUUGCAGGAGGUGUUGUUUGCGGUAACAGCUGGAUGGUGGCAUGUUUUGUCGUUGUAAUAUGGGACAAGCAGCAUGAGGAUGCGUUGUCGAGGAUCAAGUUCACGAGCAUGCCAUCAGGUGAGUUGAACAAGAAAGGCCGUUAGUAAGGGCGUGCUAUGGCUGCUGCAAGUUGUUUCGGGUUAAGGAGGAGGGUGGCAUCCCUGGCCACUGGCGAUCCACCGGGUCACCUGCGCAAGGUAGGCGGUGGCGAGCUCCUUGUUGUUGGGGGGGGGCGGGUGGCACAGCCGCACAGCCGGUUUGGUGGUUGGAUGACGGUGGCAGUGCCGGGCCAGUUCCUGAUACCUUCCGUACUCGUGAUGAGCCGUGUGUGACAUCCGUACUCGUGAUGUUCGGUGUUUGUGUCAUAGCCUUGGGCAAACCUAACUGAGCAUUUACGUGGUUUCGAGUCCAACUCGGACACCUGCAAUUCAUCUGUGAUCUGUCAGCUGAGAGCACGCACAUGACGGACGCGGGUCUGCUGCACGUGGCGUACGGCUGCCCCGCCCUGCACAGCCUGCGCUUCAGCGCCACGGGCAUCGCCGAUUGGGGCGUGCGCCGACCGGUGGUGCUGGCAGGGCCUCUGCCCGGUGUUCGCGUCGUGGUCGCAGCAGCAGGGGCAGAAGGCUGGAGGGGCGGCGUUAAGGCGGCAGGCGCUGUGGGUGCCGAGGCACGGGCGGCUUGCAACCAGAUGGCAGCGCGCUGUUGGUUGGGACGUUGGGUUGCACUUGGGGGUGCGCUGGGUGAUAACUUUGUUGCAGGAACGGUGGUAGGCGCCUGGCGUGCGGUAUCCCGCGAGCAGCGGGUGCGCCGCGACGCGUUGACCACUCAGCCUGGCUGCGCACGCUAUGGUCAACUCGGCAUGGGGCCGUUCGACAGAGGCCAGCACACAUGCCGACGUGUAUCCGCUGUCCCCUCCCAGCUGUCCCUUCCAGUAGUCCCUUCCAGUUGUCCCUUCCAGCUGUCCCACACCAACUGUCCCACCCCAGCUGUCCCUUCGGCUCCCUUCUCAAAACGCAGCUUUCAGCAAAAUCUACAGCCUGCCCGACUCCCAGCGUGUGCGACCUUCCGCCCGCCUUCCAAAACGCAACAGCCCCCGCCUCUCCUCGCCAGCCGCUCACAGCCGAAACUCUGCUUCUUUCUUUAUCAGCCACAAACAUCAGCCACAAACAAGGCCUCGGAAACAACGCCUCGGAAACUUCCUCCCAACUAGUGCGCGGCCACAGCUCCCCUACCGAACGUCGCAGCACCUAUCCUCACCAUCAGCAACGCUUCCUCACCUCCGGUUGUGUUGUUGGCGUGUUGCACCGCAUUCGGCCUGCCCGCCACAAUUGUCGUACACAUUCGGGCCCCUCUUCUGCUUUGCUUCGCCUUGUUCCUGCCCCUGUUUGUCACACUGUCGCCCGGCCAUUGUUUUGCUGCACGCCGUUGCAUUACGCUAGUGCUCGUCUACACAGCUCAUCCGUGGACGCCGGUCGACUGCCUGCAGGUGCGCAUCGGCUAUGCUAUCCGCGCGGUGUGGCGUCGCAUUGAGUCUGUGUGGUGCUAUCGCCUUGGCCGGGCGCCCGGAGCGUGAGGAAUGCGCGUCAGCAAAACAUCGACACAACCUGCCAGCUACCGUCGGUACAGUAACAGCGCGCGAACGACGCACCAAUGCCUUGUCCCUUCUUGCUACGCAUUUAUGUGGGCACGGGUGGGAGCCACACACAUCGGGACUACGCUUUCCUGCCCCUUGCCAUGUUCCAUCACAUGCCGACGUGUAGCAGUUUGGACUUUAUUAAUAGGUUGCACUGUUGACGUGAGCUCAAGCUUUCCGCUUAGAAGAGUAGUUGCUAGCAGUGCUAGUGAAGCUGCGUAUACUGUAACUUUCCUGAAGUCGUCAAUUUUUUCUACGCUGCAUACGCACCCUCAUGAUAAUCCUGGUUGUCAUAGAACAUGCCACCUAGACGGGCUCGAGUCCCUGCAACUCUCGAGAGCCGCAUCAAGCAAGGUCUGCAAUACUUUGCUGGCCUGCGCGAGGACGAGGCAGCAGAUGUUGCCCGUGCAAAGGACCUGGGCGAUGCACUCCUUGAAGCUGACAUGAACAUUAUCAGCAAUACCGGGAUUUUGAGCGGCAUCGUGGCUGCGCAUGCCUGGGCCGCGCGUGCGCUUGCCGUUGACGUUCUGAACGACUCGGCUUACGUCGCUUUUGUAGCGACCGCAACUAAUCUAGGAGAACUGCUCAGCAGCCAGCCGGGCGACCAAGCUUACGGCAGGCAGGACCGGUUGGUCCGAGCCCUGCUGAGGGCGGACACGCUCGCCGUGCACGCGAGGCUGUGUGUACGGACGCUCGCGCCCACCCGCGGGGCCGCCGCCCGCCGCAGCCUCCGGCCACCGGAUGCAAUCAAGCGGGAUCUGGUAUGGCGUGUCCUCCAGAACCUCUCCACGAUUGCCCGAUUUGUGAACAACAGCCGGGAUGCUGGCCUCAAGCACGAGCUGGUGACGGCGCUGGCGCACACGCAGCUGCUCGAGCACGCCGCGCGGGCGCUGCUAAGCGCCGCCCAGGCCAUUCAGCCCGCAUCCAGCGAAGGAACUUCAGGGGCGGCUGCAGCUUCGGGAACGGGGCUUCCACCUGAGAGCUGGAUAACCGUGUCGGGCGUAGCAACCACAUUUGCCCACGCGCUUUCGUGCCUGGUGGGCACAGACCUGCGCACUACCGCGCUGUGCCCACGACCCCGCGAACGGGACGCAUCUGUGGAGGUGUCGCAGAAUUCGAGGCAGCUACAACUGCUGGAGCAGCUGCGGCCGCUGCUGGCCAGCCGCUGCGUGCAGCUCUGCACGGGAUGGGCGGGCCUGUGUGCGGCCAUUACCGUACGGCAGCGGGCAGCGGACGACAGCGCUCAGCAGGGCUUGGUACCAACUGCGUCGCAGCUGUGGCACGGGCUGCCGUCGGAGCUGAUACGGCCGCUGCAGCUGCCGCCGCAGGCCACUGUGUCAAGCCAGGAUAUGGUGCGCACAGCGACCCUGGUACGUAUACGGUACUCGACCGCCGAUGCGCAAGAUGGGCUGCUGCGUUAGUUGACGGGGAGCUUGACGGGGAUAUAAGUGCAUGAACUGCAAUGCUCCCGGCGGGGCUCUCCGGUAUACAAUCUAGUGUUGGCAUUACAGGAACUUAGCGUUGACAUUAGCUCGCCAUUUGCUCGCCGCCUUGCAGGCACUGCCUAUGGUCCUGCAGGUGACGGUCAGCGGCCCCUGCGACCUGGCCAUCGCCCAGCCGCCCGUGGGCUACGACCGCCUGCCGCACAGGCAGCCACAGCCGCAGCGACCAUCGGCGGGGCCAUCAGCAGCGGGGUCAGCAGCAGCGGAGGGGCCGGCUGCAGCACCAGCACCAGCUUCGUACAGCGCCGUAAACGCGUACGGGCUGCUUAAGGCAUUAUGGCACUGCCUGGCCUGUGACCGCGCCACUUACACGUGCAACCUGUGCGCAGUCGCCACGGUAAUGACCCGGCUGCUGACGGAGCUGCGGCCGCGGCAGGCGGCGGUGCUGCUGCCGAGUUGGUGGCAGCUGCUGGCGCAGGAGCCGUCCAUGCUCAUUGAGGGGUACGGGCUUGCGCAGGACGCAGGGGAGCUGCUGCGGCUGCAGUUGAAUGCGCCGCCGCCGGUCGCGUGGGCUGUUGGGGUGACGGAUGCAGCUUCCGUGGCUGCGGCGAGUGUGGACUGGCCGCCGGAAGCGGCGGAGGUGCAGGACGCGGAGGCGGCGACAGCAGCGAAGGCAGCAGCCAGCCUGGCGCGUGAGAGGGACCCCAGCUACAGCCUCCGCUGCGCGCUGGACGCGGGGCUGCUGUCAGUUAUGGAACGGUGCCUUCGCGCGCCACAGGCCUGGCGGCAGUCCAACAGCGUGAGCAAGCUGCUGUACGUCGUAAACUGCGUGCUGCGCUACUCGGGCGUGUGGCCCGCGGUGCUGGCUCGCGGUCCCGUGCAGCAGGCGGUGUCGCUGAUUGCCACGCUGGGCGCAGCAGCUCGGCUGCUGCAGGAGAAGGACACGUCACUGGACGUGAUAAGCCGUGCCUCCCAGCCUGGCAUGCAAACAACGGCAAGGUGCGGCGCCGGCGGCUACCUGUGUGCCUACCUGUCCGCAAUGCUGGAGCAGGUCGUGGACGUGCGGGCGCUGGGCGAGGGCGCACAGCAGCAGCAGCAGCGGGAGGAGCAGCAGGCAGCAGCUAUCGAUGCUACGGCCACAGCCGCAAUUUCCACCCCACUGCACCUCAACUCGGUGCUGGAGCAGGUAGUGGAUUCGAAGGACGGCAGUGUCGAGCCCUCCACGUGCUCCAUCGCCUGGAUGGCGGCGGCGGGCGGCCUGCCAGCUGCCGGCUCCACAGCGUACCGGCAGCAGCAGCUGCUCACGAGCUUCGCGGUGUACCAGUGGCUGCCCAUGCUGGCAAAGGCAACGGAGGAUGCCUUGUGGAGUAGUGAGGCGGGCGCCGAGGGCUGGCUGUCGCAGGCGCUCCUGGUGGGGCACCUGGUGAUGGAUGUGCUCUGGCGCGAGGAGCGCCCGCCAGCUGAAGCCGACGAGGGCGCUGGCUCACACAACCGACGACAGGACGCGGCGUGGUGGGAGGGCGUGACGCAGACUGGCCAGCUUGCGAAGAGCAUGCACAAUAUUAUGGACGUGCUGGCAACAGACGCCGUAAGGCCGCUGCUGCUUGAGCACUGUGAACAGUGGCAGCAGGCAGCCGUGUUGGACCUGUUGCAAUCCUAUUGGACACGCUUUGCGGGGGCGGCGCGUGUCACGAUACGUGCGUGGGCGAUACGGGCGGCCGAACAACAGCAUCAGCGGACGGAUGGAAAGCAGCAGGCUGGGCAGGCGGCGGAGGGCGGGAAGGGCAGCAGCACGAGCAGCCUUGGCGACAGCACAGCACAGCAGCGGCAGGCGCCACCGCCCGAGCUAGUGCUGCAGUGCUUGACGCCGCUGCCGAUGCAGCAGCUGGCAGCGGUGCACGGGCGGCAGGACAUGGUGGAUUACCUGGACGCAGUAGCUAAGGGUUUGAGAGGGGAAAUGAUGAUUGAGUGCGGCAGUGCCGGCGCCGGCGGAAGCGGCAUGGGGGUGCAAGGGCCUGCCAGCAUGGAGGGCGGCGCGUCGCACGCUAGCGCCACGGCGGAUAGGUUGAGGGCGAAGUGGGUUGGCGCCGUGCGGCCGCGGUACCCGUGGCUGUUGUCUCAAGGCCAGGCACAGGCGGGGCUGCAUGACCUGAUGGUCGCAGAGGCGGCGGCUGCAGCGGCAGCUACUGCUACGGGCGAGCCCUCAGUAGCCUGCGGCGGCGGUGGCAGCAGCGGGAGCAGUAGCAGGAGCAGUAGUGGGCAGGGCAGCAGCAGCGAUGGGCCGGUAUUUGAGCACAAGCUGUGCUACAACCCGCGCUGCUGCUCGCUGGACGGCCCCAGCGUGUUGGUUGCGCCCCGCGGCGGCAAGACGUGUGUGCGGUGCCGUGCUGCCACGUAUUGCUGCGGCGCUUGCCAGCUUGUGGACUGGCGUGAGCGGCACUCUGGCACCUGCAGUGGAGCCGCCGCGGCGGCGGCAGGGUCAGCAGGGACAGCGAAGGCAGCGCUGAAGAAGGCAUGAACUGACGAAGUGCAACAGCAGUAUGGACCCGAAGACUGCGCUUCAAAUGCGGCGUUUUGCGGUUUGUAUGAGAGUGAGAGUGCGAUGCAUGGCGUGGACUCUUGGGUCGUUUGCCACGCCGAGCGUGCAGCAAGAAGCGCUUAAAAAGCCCAAUUGGCUCUGCUUUGCAUUAGCGCAUUACGGUUGAUGACCGCUGACGCGGGUGGUCCGCGCCUUCAUCGGCCGGGAUUACAGAGCGGACUCCACACCGAAUGUAUGAGUGCCAGACCUGCGAUGCUAAUCUUACUUCGCCAAGGCUAGCCUCCUCGCUCCUUUGAGGCUUGAUACCGUAUCAAGGUUUUGGGCAGGAGUAGGGGCAUCAUGAGCGGCGGCGGGGUAACAGGGUGGGGUACAGGCUGCAGUGUUGUUCGGGUUUGGGCGCGUUCUAGGCAUGUGGCACCCGUAUGUGGCAGAGCAAUUUGACUGUCCCCAACAUGUUUAUGUGCCCGCCGAGAAUGCUAAGCUGACGGUCUGAACUUCGCGGUUUUUGUAGUUGCACGACUGUAUGUCAUUAGAGUUUCGGCCAUUGUCGCAGGUGCAGGCGCAGUGCAGUAGAAUGCAGGGGCGUGGGCGAGGAGGAGAGGGCUGACGGACAACUGGAGGCCGUGAUGCGGCGGUAGAUACGGUAGGUACAGGACUGGGAGGCGCACCAAAUGCAUGACUGACUUACCAGUGCACGGCUGAACGCGAUGGCUACAUGUGCGGACUGCGGACGGGCUUGGAACAUCAGCUUAUGAAUGAGGGACGGUGCACUGUUGCCGACGCAUUCGGCCUAUCACGGCAUGCACUCACAUGGCAUCAUCUCGCUCUACACCGCCAGUCUUUGGUGCCACGGCAAGAGGUGGGGCCCCGGUGGAUGGGUGUGCAGGAGGGCGGGGUGGUUUGGCGGUAGGGAUGGGAGUGCGGAAGUGGACGACAAGGUCAAGCUUGCAGGAGGUGUUGUUUGCGGUAACAGCUGGAUGGUGGCAUGUUUUGUCGUUGUAAUAUGGGACAAGCAGCAUGAGGAUGCGUUGUCGAGGAUCAAGUUCACGAGCAUGCCAUCAGGUGAGUUGAACAAGAAAGGCCGUUAGUAAGGGCGUGCUAUGGCUGCUGCAAGUUGUUUCGGGUUAAGGAGGAGGGUGGCAUCCCUGGCCACUGGCGAUCCACCGGGUCACCUGCGCAAGGUAGGCGGUGGCGAGCUCCUUGUUGUUGGGGGGGGCGGGUGGCACAGCCGCACAGCCGGUUUGGUGGUUGGAUGACGGUGGCAGUGCCGGGCCAGUUCCUGAUACCUUCCGUACUCGUGAUGAGCCGUGUGUGACAUCCGUACUCGUGAUGUUCGGUGUUUGUGUCAUAGCCUUGGGCAAACCUAACUGAGCAUUUACGUGGUUUCGAGUCCAACUCGGACACCUGCAAUUCAUCUGUGAUCUGUCAGCUGAGAGCACGCACAUGACGGACGCGGGUCUGCUGCACGU
rnacentral:lncRNA from 1 species